rnacentral:pre_miRNA from 1 species
CUGUAGGGCAAUCUGUUUUUAAGGUGGGAUACAUUUCUCUAAAGCAAAUGAAUCCUAGGUAGCUUUCCUUCUGCUUAAGUGAACUUCUUAU